GUAAAAAAAUCUAGGCCUUCCCUUAUUACCCACUUUUGUGGACGUUAAAAAAAUCUAGCUUACCCAAAACUUACCCACUGUGAGAUUGAGGCCUUCUCUUAUUACCCACAAAGUCAGUAACCCACGUUUCCUUCACCCCAUUGAGGCCUUCUCUCUCCUCCUCCCUCAUUUCCAUCUUAUCAUCAUCACCAAGAUUGAUUUUGAAUCCCCUCAAAAUCUUAUCAUCAUCCCCUCAAAAUUUUGAGCAAAGUUUGUAAAAUCUUAUCAUCAUCCCCUCAAAAUUUAACGUUUGUAAAAUCUUUUCUACCCAAUUAAAGUUUCUCCUCCUACCCAGUGCAUUCUUACUCUCCUCUCACUGUGUAAUUCCACUAUUUUUGAAGGAACCCACUACCCAGUUCAUCAAACUAUGUAUUAGAAUUUUUUGGCAAAAUCAACUAUUUUGACUAUUUUGAAGAAUCCGACGCUAUAUGCAGAAGUCGAUCGGAUUAUACUUUUGAAGGAACCCAUACCCAGCUCAUCAAAUCAACUAUUUCAAGUAUUAAGCAUGCAGCAGUAGAUUUUAUCUCAAGGAAAGAUUGUUGUGUAUAUCGUGUAUGGGUAUUGAAUUUUGCGAGUUUUUGAGAACAAUUGUAAGUGUUGAUUGUGAAUGUUUUUUAUGUAUUGAGACCGUACUAUAAGUGAUUUGUGAGUUAAUUUUGUAAGUUUUUUAGAACAGUGAUUUGUAUGUUAAUUUUUAUUUUUUUGUAAAGUUCAGUGAUUUGUGAA